rnacentral:rRNA from 1 species
CUGGACCUCAGCUCAGGCGUGACUACCCGCUGAAUUUAAGCAUAUCAAUAAGCGGAGGAAAAGAAACCAACAGGGAUUCCCCCAGUAAC